rnacentral:lncRNA from 1 species
UUUUGUUCUGUUGAAAUUAAGGAUUUGGCCCACCAAUUAUCACAAUCUCUAACAAGAGAGAAGGAACUACUCUUUGGAAGAGGUGGGGUACUGGGGUUUGAACAUUCAAAGCCUUAAUCUUUGUUCUCUGAUGCUUAUCAGGAUAAAGAAGAAAAAGAAAAAAAAAUAAAUCUUCACUCUUUGGCAAAGAUGGAUGCCACUAAAUUCAAUUCAGUCAAAGCAACUGGAAAAUGGAAAUUGAAAAUUGAAAGUUCAAAUGAAAAGAAAACAAUAAAAUUUCAUUACAAUCAAACAUUUCUUUGUACAAAGACUAAAUAAUGCACCCACUUGCAUCAAGAGAACCCAAAAAAAAAAAUGAAAAUUUCUUCAUAUAUGUCCAUAAGGACGUAAAUGGCCAUGUUGAUCGUAUCAAAAUUGGGCUUUCCAAGCUGAAUCUGGUCUCGUCACCGAGAGAACAAAGCACCGGCACAUCGGCUGCUACUCCGAGAAAAGAUGGAGGCAACAGAAUGUGCCAGACCCAACACUAUAGCCACCUUUACUUGUCCCCUCUUGGGAAUCCGUCGGCCAGCAAUUCUCUGAGAGUAAAUCCCACCCUUCGUCAUUGCCCUCCUCGUACCACCCAUAUGUAUCUUCUUCUCUUUGCUGAUUAAACCUCUUCGGAGAUUUUAACGUUUGGAGUAGUGAAGUAGACCCAAGUACUGAAAUCUGAAGGUUGUGAUGCCAGAUGUGUCUGAAUUUUAGGUUGAGUUUUGCAGGCAGGAAGGUGCCCUUUAUAUAGAGCCUCUAUAUGCUUGAAAUCCAAUAAUAAUCAACCAAUGUUAUCCUAAGAGCAAAGUUCUUGAUGAUCAAGUAAGUGAU